GCUUAACACAUGCAAGUCGAACGAGAACGGGAUUAGCUUGCUAAUCUGUCAGCUAAGUGGCGCACGGGUGAGUAAUAUAUAGGUAACGUGCCUUCAAGAGGGGGAUAACAGAUGGAAACGUCUGCUAAAACCCCAUAUGCCUUUAAUGCGAAAGUAUGCAAGGGAAAUAUUUAUAGCUUGAAGAUCGGCCUGUACAGUAUCAGAUAGUUGGUGAGGUAAUAGCUCACCAAGUCAAUGACGCUUAACUGGUUUGAGAGGAUGAUCAGUCACACUGGAACUGAGACACGGUCCAGACUCCUACGGGAGGCAGCAGUGGGGAAUAUUGCACAAUGGGGGAAACCCUGAUGCAGCAACGCCGCGUGGAGGAUGACACAUUUCGGUGCGUAAACUCCUNUUAUAUAAGAAGAUAAUGACGGUAUUAUAUGAAUAAGCACCG
rnacentral:rRNA from 1 species